rnacentral:lncRNA from 1 species
UCUUUCAUGCUAAGCCAACAGUAAAGAAAAAUUCAUUGCAAUUGCUUGUUCUUCGUUUUGAUAAAGAAUUAAUGAAAAUAUUCUAAGUUUUUGUUUGACAUGAAAUAUAAAAUUGAUUAAUUUAAUUAAUUACAAGGAUUUUCUUUACUUUUUGUUUAGCAUGGAAAUUUCAAGAUCAUAUAAUCAAAAGCAAUUUGAGUUUUAUAGACAAUUAUUAAAAAUAAAUUAUUUGAAUUGAUUUUAAUUUGAAACAUAAAUUUUGUAAGGAGAUUAAAUUGAUUAAUUAAUUUAAUUAAUUUCAAUAUUAUAGCAACAAAUCAAUUGACACUAUCAAAGGAUAAGAUUUUUUCAAUAAUUUAUUUAAUUGAUUUUGAUGUUUUGAAAUUUAAAAUUUCAACAUUGAAAAAAAAUAGUACUUUAAGUACAAUUUUUAAAAGUAUAUAAUGCAUUAUUUUAGUUUCUACCGCUUUUUUACUUUAAUCUUUAAUGUUUUUUUUUACCCUAAUCAAUACUAAAAAGGAAAUUUUUUUGAGUGACCAAAAUGAAAGCGACCUACAAGUUGAGUGACCGAUAUGAAAGUGUAAAUAUGGUGUGUUAUGUACAGUCAACCGUUAUUAGAGAUUUAACGUUUGGAUGAUAAAUGAAAGCGUCUUUGAGUGAAAAUAAUUUUAAAUAAUUAUUUAUUAUAUUAUAAACUCAAACUAUUAUUCUCAAUAGUAAUUAAUUACAAUAAAUAAUUAAAAUGAUUAUAAAAUAAAUAAUUAAAAUAUUUAUAAAAAAAUAUUAUGACACAUAUUAUUUUAUUAAAUAAAAUUAUAAUUUCAUAUAUUUUUAAUAAUUUCAUAAAAAUAAAAUAAUUUACAACUUCUAAUAUAUAUCGUUUCAAUCUAAUAUCAUUAAUAGUAAUUUUGUAUUAUUGUCUUAUUGGUACAAUUGUGAUUGAACCCAAACACAUAUCUCACCACUAAUUUUAAUUUCACCGCUCGGUGAGAUUGCCUUUGGUGAGAUUAAAAAUAAUGGUGAUAGUGAGAUUAAUUACUCUAGCAAUGAGAUUAAAACAAGUGGUGAAAUUAGUGUUUGGAUUCAAACUCAGCUAUAGUAGUGUGAUAACAAUAGAAAUAACUAUUAUAGACAUUAUAAUAUAAUAAAUAAUUAAAAAUAUAUCUAUAUUAAAUAAUAAAAUAUAAAUUACAAUUCUAUUUUUAAAAUUGAUAACUAAAAAUAUUAAUACAUUUUUAUAUUAAAAAAUUACAAGUAUUUAUAAAUUUAAAAGCAUUAUAUAAUAACAUAAUUUAUAACAUAUUUACUUUUUUAUAAUUAUUAACUUUAUAUUUAGGGUAAAUUACACCAACAGUCACUCAACUUUGGGGUAGCUGACAAAAUAGUCACCUUGGUUUCAUUUCAGUCACUCAACUUUAGAAAAAUAACAAAACAAUCACUAAUGUUAUCAAAAAGUGACAAAUCAGUCACUCGCUAACAUUUUUCGUUACAGUUCUAACAGGAUAGGUGACGUGGCUAGUUAAUUAGCUGACGUGGCCAAUUAACUAGCCACAUUAGAUAUCCAUAGUGGAAACCCACCCAAAUUAAGAAGAAAUUGAAAAAAACCCUAAUAACGGAGAAGAAGAAGAAGAACAAGAACAAGAACAAGAACAAGAAGAAGAGACUGUAAAAUCCCUCUCAAAGUCUCCAACAACCCUUAUACAAUUGACCCCACAAACAAACCGACAACAUUGAUAAGUACUCCGACCACCACCACUUGCACCACCAUUAAAUUGGGUUAGGGUUUUUUCCCCAAUAUUCUCUUUCUUCUAUUGUGGAUAAAUUUCAAAGGCUAAACUUUGUGCCAUAAAGAAAUUUCUUCUUGAAAUACUAAAUCUCCAAAAAAAAGUCUUCACUGCCUAAUUUUGGUUAAUACCAGGACAAAAAAAAAAGAUUGAAGGACAAUAAGAAGAAUAAAACUGGAGAAAGAGAGAAAGUAUGGGUUUUUAGUAUUUUAUCAGUUUCUAAAUCCUAAUUUUGGUUUCAAUUUCUUUUUAUUGUCUUCUCCUUUCUUUUCUGCCUAACAAGUUUGGCAAAGUGAUUAGACAAAGGAAACAAACCAGAUGAAAAAGAAAAACACUCAACAUAGGUAAGAAGAAAAAAGGAGCUUUCAGAUCUAGGUUCUCCCCUUUCAUCUUUUGCUUCCCUACUGUUCUUUUUCUUUUUUGUUCUAGUCAAAUUUUGAUUGUUUCCUUGUUUUUGCAGUUGUUUCAUAUUAGAAAUUUGCCGGGGUCUGAUUCUGAUAUCCAUCUAAUAAAAAGAGGAUAGGUAGGUAUGUUGAAGAAUAGGUCCGGAGCAAUGACCAGCAAGCAAACUUUAAAGGUUGAUCACAACUCUCAAGCAUCCCCUGCCCAGAAUAGCACUAAACCAAUCCCAUCUUUCUUCAAUUCUCCGCGAUUUAAAGCUUUCACUUCAAAAGCCUUUCUCGACACUAAAUCUCUCAAGAGCUCUACUUCAAUCAUUGACAGCAAACUCUUCUUUCCUUUUGGAAACCCCUUUACCUUGGACAAAAACCACGCCAAAUCCCUUUUUAUCUCUUCUUCUUCUUAUUCUUUUUCUAUCGCAUAAACCCUCAAUGGGUGCUGAAAAGGCUGUUUAAAUUGGUGCUAACUGACUAACUUGAAAGUUAAUGACACCAAGCAAGCCUUCAUCUGCCAUGCCACUUUACCGUUACAUUUGUAACGGAAAACGGUAAAAAUGAUUGUUUUGUUAUUUUUCUAAAGUUGAGUGAUUGAAAUAAAACCAAUGUGACUAUUUUGUCAUACCCCAAAGUUGAGUAAUUGUUGGUGUAAUUUAUUCUUAUAUUUAUAUAAUGUGUUUAAUUUGUACAAAACCCAUGUUUUUUGAUAAUAUUAUAUUUAUAUAAUAUGUUUAAAACUAUAUUAAAGUAGAAUACUUAAGUUGCAUGGAGAAGAAUAAGGUGGGCUGGCUUAUUACGUCAUAAAGCUAGUCUGGCGAUAAAAACGACAACGUCUUUGUCGGCUAAAAGAGAAAUUAAAAUAAUUAUCCCAUCUCUCAGAUUAUCGUUUCCGGAAGGAAUGAAUAUAUAUGUAUGAAAGCGAAGACAAUAAUAAGAUAAUGAAAAAUAACACUUACCAACAGAAAAAACGAAAACCGAACCGAGAUCGAAGAAGAUCCCCUUGUUCUAUAUAUACAUAUAUAUAUUAAUUUUUGUUAUCUCAAGUUUCUUUUGUUUCUUGCUUGUUUAGGCCAGCGCAUUCCUUAUAAAUUACACUCACUUCGUUUCCAAGAUAAAUAAUUUUGUUCCUCACUCCACCAUCUUCCUGCAUUUCCCUUUCUCUCUGCACUAUUAAAUUCCUUUUUUUACUGAUAAAAGCAUUUAAUUAACGCUUAAUCUAUGCUUGCUUUCCCAUGGAUUUCCAUUCCAACUAGCUUCGAUACGGAUCUGCUGCUUUCAGUUUCACGCGUUCUCCUCAUUGUUAACUUGUAAUUAUCCUUUUUCCACCUUUUGAUUAUGCAAUUUCGUUUUUUUUUUCAAGUCUGAGUGAUUUUGCUGCUGCUAUUGUUGUUAUUAGGUUCUGAUAGCCAAUGGCGUUGAAGCGGGGACUAUCCAGUGUGGGCGUCCAAAGGAGCAGAAGUUCUGGAUCUCGAUUGCGUAUCGUGAUUCUUUUUUUCUUCUCAAUUGUGACUCUACUUGUUUUCUUUGUCGGUCAAGGGCUUUACAUUUCUGGUUCGUUUUUUCUCUUAAUUUCCCCCCGGGGUUUUAAGUACUACUUACCAGAUCUAACUUUGUAUUUGAUUUUGAUUUUGUAUUUUAGAAUGAUGAUAAAUUAAUUCUUUGUUUUGAUUAGUUUAUAAAUGCGUCUUUUUCGAUCUGAUAAAAUUGAAAAGUGCCUCAUCUUUUAAUUGAUUCCGAGCUUUGAUUAGUGAAUUUCUUAAAAAUGUUUUUGGCUUCUCAUUUUACUAGAAAUUUGUAAAGUCAAAUGGUCUAACUUUAGUUACACAACAUUGUCGUAAAUAGUGAUGCUCCUACUAAGUUCCAAUUUUAACUUACAAUUCGUUGCUCCAUCUCACCUAAUAUUUAUCAUCAUAAUAGAACUUUUGUUCAAUUAUGUUGAAUUGUGUUGUGAGUAUAAAGUUAGAUAUAAAUUCAAUUGUGUUCUUUGAUUGCAUCUGAUCUUUGUUCCAAUUUUUGUUUCUUGUGCAGACGAAGAUAGUGUUCAAAGUGGUUUUGGCGAACAGGUUUCUUCUUUAAAACCUUAUCCAUCUGCAUUGCUUUUAACUUAGAUGACAGACUGUGACAGCUUUUAUACCCAGAUCUGCAUUAUUUUAAAAUGGUUGAGUUUUGCAGAAUGUUGACUGGAGAGAAAGGCUGGCAUCCCAAUCUAUCAAAAACCUAUUCACUAAAGAGGUGAAUGCGUGUUGGAUUAUAUUCUAUACAAAUUAUGGUUCUUGCUCCAAUUGUUGGUAGAUUUUAAUUGUCAAUUAUAUUUAUCAUCUGAUGUCAUACUCAAAUCAUUCUAGGUUAUUGAUGUUCUAUCUACUAGUACAGCUGAUUUGGGGCCAUUAAGUCUUGAUUCUUUCAGAAAAGGCAAUUUGUCUACAUCAUGGAAUUUUAUUGGGGUAGAGUCUUCAGUUGCGGAUAAAGCUACUUCUCAGGUUAGGAUCAUACCUCAGUAGUCAAAUCUAUCCCAACCCCUCCUCCAAAGAAAAAAAAGGUGCUGAUUGACUAAUCUUUAUAUGAUUCUCACUUGUUCAAAGUCAAAUCAAAAGGCUACAGACUUGAAACAAGAAAUAUCUCAAGUUAAAGAGGGAAAGCUUCCUAAUGGUAAUGCAUUUCUGAUCUGUUAAAUAUAGAUAUGCCUAAUGCUACUGGUGAAUUUUCUUUCAUGCUGACCUGGCUGUUCUAUGCAGAUGAUCAUUCACAUGAUAUGCUUACUAAUACACUUCGAAGGGUAAUUAUCAUCUUUUGAUUCACUGAGUGCUUUAGUAUUAUAACUAAUUAUAUAAUAAGAGGCAUGUUACUGACUGCAGCAACUUAGAGAUAAUAGGCGUGAGAAGCAUGUGGCUGGUUUGGUGCAAAAAGAUGAUGAAGCUACUGUGAAACUUGAAAAUGCAGCCAUUGAACGAUCCAAAGCUGUGGACUCUGCAGUUCUUGGAAAAUAUAAUAUGUGGAGGAAAGAAAUUGAUAAUGAGAACUCUGAUUCCACAGUGCGCUUGAUGAGUGAUCAAAUUAUAGUGGCAAAGGUUUAUAUAAUUAUUGCAAGCAUGAAAAACAAGCUUGACUUGCGAAAAGAAUUGCAGAUUAGGCUCAAAGAGAGUCAGCAUGCCUUAGGAGAGUCAACAACUGACGCUGAUCUACCUCAUAGGUAAAGGAAGUUGGGUCUUUAAUCUCCUUGGCUAUGUGCUGUAGUCCAUGUUUCCUCCAGGUUUUGCUUUUGAUGAUUCUGUCAGUUUCUAAUGUUGUGCUCUCAUGUGAAUUAUUCAGUGCGUCUGAUAAAAUUAAAGCAAUGGAAAAAGUUCUAGCCAAAGCAAGAGAGCAAUUAUAUGAUUGCAAGUUGAUGCUUGGAAAGCUCAGAGCAAUGCUUCAGGCAUCGGUAGAACAAGUUAUGAGCUUGAAAAAAGAUAGCAUGUUCCUGAGUCAGUUAGCUGCCAAAACAGUUCCCAAUGCAAUCCAUUGCUUGUCGAUGCGUUUGACCAUAGAAUAUUAUCUCCUUCCCGCAGAGAAGAGAAAGUUCCCUAGAAGUGAGAAUUUGGAAAAUCCAAAUCUCUACCAUUAUGCCCUCUUCUCUGAUAAUGUCUUGGCUGCAUCUGUCGUUGUCAAUUCAACUAUCAUGAAUGCCAAGGUGAUAAAAGCUGCCUUGCAUAGCUCUCUGAGUUGUUCUUUACUUUUUUUGUUUUUUCACUUAUUGAUUAGGAAUUGUUAUGUUUAUAAGAAUUGAGGCUCAGAUGCAGUCUUCACUAAAAUUUUCUUCUUGGUUGUAUUGCAGGAUCCCUCUAAACAUAUUUUCCAUCUUGUUACUGAUAAACUUAAUUUUGGAGCAAUGAACAUGUGGUUUCUGUUGAAUCCCCCUGGAAAAGCCACCAUUAAUGUUGAAAAUGUUGAUGAAUUCAAGUGGCUUAAUUCAUCCUAUUGCCCUGUCCUCCGGCAGCUUGAGACUGCAGCGAUGAAGGAAUACUACUUCAAGGCAGAUCAGCCAACCAAUUCUGGAUCUUCGAACUUGAAGUAUCGAAACCCAAAGUAUCUCUCAAUGCUUAAUCACUUGCGGUUCUAUCUGCCACUGGUCUACCCAAAGUUAGAUAAGAUCCUCUUUCUUGAUGAUGACAUUGUUGUCCAGAAAGACUUGACUGGAUUAUGGUCUGUAGAUCUCCAUGGAAAAGUGAAUGGUGCAGUAGAAACUUGCGGUGAAAGCUUUCAUCGUUUUGACAAGUAUCUGAACUUCUCAAAUCCUCAUAUUUCACAGAACUUUGAUCCUAAUGCUUGUGGGUGGGCAUAUGGAAUGAACAUGUUUGAUCUCAAGGUUUGGAGAAAGAAGGAUAUUACUGGCAUAUACCACAAGUGGCAAAAUAUGGUGAGUUAAUGGACAGACGGAAGUUUUGAUUUCAUGCUAGUUAUUUUCUCCUUCACAUAUACACACACCACCUUUCAUGCUUGCAUGGAGAUAAAUCAUUUAGUUGUUGACGGAUUAAACCCACAAGUUUGCCAAUUAUCAAAUAACGUUCUAGUGAACAUGUUGCUCAAGUUAUAUAUGCAAAACUGAUGGUAUUAUAGGUUUUGAGGGGUAGGUUGGCUCCUUUGGGAGACAGACGACAUUUGAAGACUUCUCACGACUUCAAAGGAUAAUUUGUUGUAUGUUCUGAUCUUUUCUUUUUCUUGAUUUGUUUGAAUAUUUAUCAGAACGAAGAUAGAGCAUUGUGGAAGCUGGGGACACUUCCCCCGGGGCUGAUCACAUUUUAUGGUCUAACACAUCCACUUCAGAAAUCAUGGCAUGUACUUGGUCUUGGCUACAAUCCAAAUGUAGACAAGAAAGAAAUUGAAAGUGCAGCAGUUAUUCAUUACAAUGGCAACAUGAAACCUUGGUUGGAGUUGGCCAUGACGAAAUAUCGAUCAUACUGGACCAAGUACAUCAAGUAUGAUCAUCCCUACCUUCACAGUUGCAAGUUCAGUGAAUGAACCAGAUUAUAAUUAGUGACAUUUUGUUUUCUUUUUCCUUCUAUUUUUUCUUUACUCUUCUUAUCCCCACAUUAUUGUUUAUUCUUCUUUGUAAUUCAUUAAAUUCAUUCCCUUAAGCUUCUCAUUCAUUGGAAUGAGUUAACAAAUUUUACGCCAGGUUAACCUCUGUACUUAAGACACCCCAUGAUUUUUUCACCCUUUUCCAAUUUUAGUAGAAUAGUGAAAAUCUUGGUCCACUAUAUUUUUUGAACAAUAGCUCCUUUUGCUGGAUUUAACGUGUAUAUAUUAUAAAGACUCAAAUUCCUAAGUUUGUUUUCUGAAGCAAUUUUCUUUUUGAAUUAUUGCUCGAUAAAGAAACCAAGAUCCAAGACAAAUUAACAAAGCAAAUUAGAAUUUAAUUGAUGAAAUAAAAUCUAAAAAGAAAAUGAAAAUAGAAAAGAAACUAAGGGUUUGGAGAUGUAUUGAUCAGUGAGGGAUGGAAUUAUUGUGCCAAAUUGAAUGAAAGCCUAAAUUGAACGAUUCAAAUCUGAAAAAAAAAAUUGGAGUAAAUAAAGUUAGAUUUGAACAAUAGAAAAUAAAGAAAGUAAAAUAAAAGAACUAGACAAAAAAAAAAAAGAUUGAAUGUCCUAUGGCACCCUUUGAUGACUUACUCUCAAAAACAUCAAUGAUCGGAUGGAUUUUUCCCUAUAAAAUCCUUAAGCGAAGGAGUCUUAGAAACAUCAAUGGUCGAGUUUUGAAGGUUAUAAACGUUGCAACUUUGGAAGGUUUGAAAAAUAACAAACUGCAAAAGAAAACAAGAGUAAAAUCGCUCGAACCCUUAUCACAAAAAAAAAAAAAUCACUAAGAAAAAUUUACUUUAUUUAAUGAAUAAUAAGGGUGGUGACUAAGCCUAUCAAUAGGCUGAAAAUACAAGUAACUAAAGUGAAAAAAAAACUUCUUAAUAAUAAUCUAAAUUAAUUCCUAGGUAAAUCUCUUAUAUCACUUAAAAAUUAAUAAAAAAGCACAAAAAUCACCUAUGAUUUGUUCUAACCAAUGAGAUUCAAAAUAAAUAAAUUAUGUAACAUCUCUCACUCGUCUUGACAUUCAAUAUAGAUGGUAUAUUCAGUCGAAGUGUGAAUGUAGCAAAGAUCUCGAAAAUCAUUUAAGAAUUCAAUUUUUGAAACAAAUUAAUUAAAUUAUAAAAUUUUGAUAAAAUCAAUUUCAAGGUUUUUGAAAUAAUCUAAAAAUCAUUUAAAUCAUUUUGUGGGUGGUUGAAAGAGUCCAAAGUCAAACCUAAGCUUCAAUGGGCUUGAAAUACUCAAAAUUGUGUAAUGGUCCAAUUUCAAGGGUUAGGUAUCACUAGAUGAAAUCCUUGCACCAAUAUUCUGCGUAAAGUAUCAAUACAUUGAUCUUAUGUAUCAAUAAUUUACUUACGAUCUGUACCUUUUUAACUAUUGACUUGCAAUAUUUUGAUACUUUUGUAUAAGUAUCGGAACCUAGACCCCUAAGGCUAAAAAUCAAUUCAAAAACACCCAACUUCAUAUCCAAACACUUUAACAUGAUUCCAAUAGAUCUCAAAAUAUUAUAUAACAAAAUUUAAACUCAUUUAAGCACAAACACACAUCAUAAACAUAUUUAAGUUGAAUAAUGAAUCAAAACACAAUUAAUUAUAUUAACCACGGUUUGAAACAUAAAUCAAAUUUACAAAUUUCUAGUUUAAACGAAGUCUUUAUGAACUUGCCAAGAUUCAUACACCAAUGACAUCUAAAACAAAUGAAAUGCAACUUCAAACUCGAAUAGUAAUGCGAUGCUCUCAAGCUGGAAUAACAAACUUCUUGGACAAGUUAUUGACCUAUACAUUUAAACAACUCACGCGUGAACUCAGUAAAUACAAAAGGAAAAUCGUACUAGCCUUAUGUCAUUUUUAAUGUUAAGCCCUUUAGGAAUGUUUAUUUCAUAAAACAAUUGUGUCACAUUUAACAAUUCUAACAUAAUUAACUUUUACUAUCGAAUUACAUGGGUUCAACUUACAAAUUAUUGAUUCAUUAGUGAUCACAUUUCCAAAUUCAAAUAUAUGACUCUUAAUGAGUACUUACAUUGUAUUUAAACAAUCAUAUAACCCCUUUAAACAUAGUUUCUUAACAUAAGCACACAUAAGCAUCCCCUUUUAAGCCAUUUACUCAUUUUUCCAUAUUUAAGUUAAACAUUAUACGCCCCUUCUUGUUCUGUGGAUAAUCUUGCGACAAAAAUUACAGGCAAAGUAUUUUGCUCUCCCAAAUAUCCGUAUUUCAAGUGGUUAGGUAAAAGUUUCAACUCCAAAACAGGUGGUUUAAUAGUAGAAGGAACCAUUUUAGUUGUAGCUGGAGUUACUUGUUCUGGUUAUUCUCUACUUUUACAGCACCAGUUGAGUUGAAGGGUCGCAUCGUUAUUUUUUUUUGUUUUGGAUCAUCCAUCAUUUCUUCCUCUAUUUCAUCCUGAUUUAGCCCGAUUGAGUUCAACACUUCUGAUUCUGAAUUAUGGGUCAUUCUUUCUUGGGAUGUAAACUCUGUUGUUUAAACACUUUCUGUUUCCCAGCUCAUACCCCAUGUAAGCUAAUUGCUACUGACUUUCUCCAACAGAUUGACUAUUUUCCAUCCCGUUUUUGACCAAAUACUUCUUUUAGCUAUGAUAUCAAGUUGUCGUUUACUUUGUCCAUCCAAUCUAUCAUAGAAAAUUUGCAAUUGUACCGCAAAGUUAAUGCCCCCUCCCAAUAUUGACCGCAUAAUCAAUUUAAACCUUUCCCAUGUCUGUAACAAUGUCUCAAUAGCAUCUUGCUUGAAUUUAAAUAGCUUCAUGUGCCGAUUACUGCAGUCAUCGGUACAACUCGAUGUAGGAAUAAUUGUACGAAUUCAAUCUAGGUCGUAAUAGUGUUUGGGGGAAGUGCACCUAACAAAACCUUUUCUUGUCCUUUUAAGACAAAUAGAAUUAAUAAUAAUUUGAUAACUUCUGCCAACACAUCAACAUACAUAAUUGUGCUACAUAUGUGCUUAAACUGUUAGAGGAAAACUAUGGGUCCUCAUUUUUGUGAAUUUUAAACUUAAGAUUUGAAGAAAUCCAUGUCAGUAAUGCAAGGUUUAAUUCAAAAUGAGGAUUCUUAAUAACAUGUUGAGUAAUACUAGGUCAUAACCAGUUCAUGUCAAAGAGAACUGCCCCUACCACCUGCAUCACCUUACUAAAUUUAAUUAACAAAUUAAGGAAGCAGAGAUAUGUUAUGAAUUAAGUGUCAAAGGGUUAUUUUUGCGAACUUCCUUUAUGGCUAUCUUGUCAUAGGUACUCAUGGCUCUAUAUGAACACUGCAACUCAUAAGGAAAAAAGAAAUGUUAGUAAAAAAAUAGUAAAAAAAUGAAACGACUAAACUUAAAAUCGUAUCUAUAAUUUAAAAUUUUCUUAAUUAUUCUAUUAAAUGUAAAAAUUAAAAGUAAUUCAAUAGCAUUGCCUCCCCAGCAAUGACGCCAACAACUUGACAGCUUUUGGACGUACUAACGUCUAGAGUGUAAUUCCUGCAACCAAAUAUUAUCGUUAGGCGGUUUCUACAAGUAUAAUGGUCAGGUUGUAACAUAGUUUAUACAACAAAGUAUGGAAGUACUUUGAGGAUCGUACCCAAGGGAGGCGAAAACUAAAUUAAUUCUAACUUUGACAUUAAUAGAUCUAAUUAGUAGUUAACUAAAUUAUAUUACGAUAAACCAUAAAGUGAAGAAAAAUUAUAUAGUAUAAAAAAUAAAUUUCAUCAAAAUAAAAAUGAAAAACUAAUUUGUAGAUUGAAUCAAUUCUAACAACGGAAGACUAACUCGUUUCGGUGGUCGUAACUAAUUCCUAUUUCGGGUUCUAUUCAAUCAACUAGUCAUUAAGCUAGCAAGAUCUCUUGAUCUUCCACUAAACUAAUGAGUCGGCAAGAAAUACUUAUCUAUCGACCUCACAGUCCAGAUCGGAUUAGGGAAGAUGUUCACAGAUAGGCAAUACCAAUUUUAGAUUCAUUCCCACCGAGAUGACUUCCUAGGGUUGACAAACCUAGGGUUUUAUGUUCUUUCUAUCCUAACCAGCUGGUCCGCUAAGAAACCCUACAUAGAAACUAAUUACUCCCAUAUCCACUCGCUAAUCUCCCAUAAAGGGAUUAGUUCCUCAUGGAUCUCAUAAACAACAUACACUUGAUUGAAAAGAUGAACAUGAAUAAUAAAUCAAGAAUAAGGUUUAAGAAGAAUCUUGAUUUUAUAUCAAUAAUUGCAAGUGUAGAAAUCCACAAAGAGUUGAUGAUUCCACAAAUUAGAUUCCCCGAAGUACAAGAACAAAACUAGAACUGAAUUACAAAUAGAAAUAACCUAAGUACAAAAGAAACUAAGGAAACUGAAAAUUGAAACUAAAUGAAAGUCGUAACCUAAAACUAGAAUAAAAGAUGAUUAUGAAGUGUUUAGAGAAGCCUAUUUAUAGAUUUAGGGUUGGCUGUCGUCCAUUCACCAACUUCGGUUGACAUUUUUACAUUAAAUUUUAUCGUACAGACCAAAACGUCCUUGGCUUAUUAAUCCUCCAUGUCAAGGUGGUGUUGCGACAUCCUUUGGUCCAUGUCGCUACACUGGUGGUUGACGCUUGAUUUAGGGCUGUGUCGCGACACUGAAUCCAGAUUGCUCUUUUGGUGCUCUGCUCAUUAUGUUGCGACAUCAACCUUUUUUGUUGUAACAUUGCGGUUAGUCUCGUGUUCUCACGCCUCUAAAUGAUGUCUUGCACACUCAUCAAAUACAUUAGCCUUCCUUUAAGACUAUUUUGGCCCCUAAGGUCAUAUAAAUAACUCAAAUCACACUUUUUAUUAUUUACAUAUUGAAAAUGAAAACUAAGUAAAAAUAUAAUGAAAUUGCUUUUAUACAAGCUUCUUAAGUACGAAAAAUGGUUUAAUUUGCUACAACGAAUUGUGGUAGAUCAAGUUGCCACCCCACCUAAUCCUAGUUAGACUAGGAGUUCAUUUUUCUAUUGAAAUAAACUUCUACAAUUCAGCAAAGGUUUCACCCCUUCUCCUUAUAAAUAGAUGGCAUCAGUAGGGCUAAAUACACAACUUUAAGAUAAUGUUACUCUUCCUAAAAAUAGUGAGAAUUUAUUCUCUAAGUAUUAAUUUUAUUUUUCGAAAUAACAAUUUUGUUGAUUUCUAUUGAGAGAAAUUUUACUUUCAUGCUAAAGUAAAUAAAAUUAUUUCUGGUUCUAUAUUUGAUUCGAAUUUGUUCAAGCCCACACUUGAAAUAGUUCAUGGUACAAGAAUAACAAAGAAGGUCGUUCUGUUGAAAGCCAAGAAUCACAAGAAUUCGUCUAGCCAAAAAUACAAGUGCAAUUUCGACAAAGAGUUUAUUGCUAUAAAUAUCACAAAUCGACUCAAUUUUCAAAAUUUUUAUUUUUCGUUGUGCAAGAAAACCAUUUUCAAACUAGAUUUUUUCCAACAAUAUGUGCACUUGGUUUGAAUGAAAUCCUAAUAAAGAACUACUUAAUGGGCUAUGGAAUUUAGGGAAUUUACCACUCUGAUUGAGAGGGAGCAGAAAAUGGAAGUAUGAAAGUCAAUAAGCAAUAGGCUAAGUCAAGAGUUAAAGACAAGGCAAGAGAAGUUCUACUAGCUCCAUGUCGCUACUAUGGGCCUAAAGGGACAAAGAUUCGAGAGGUCAUUCUUUGGUCCCUUCAUGAUUUCAAAGGAGGAGAGAAUAGAGACAAGGUGACUAAAGGCCCCAAACUACUUCUAUUGCUAGCACUAGAGGUAUGAGAGGUGCAUCUAUGGCCAUUUUUGGUCAGUGUGAGAGGAACCAUUUAGGUGAGUGUUGGAGAUCUACUUUGGCACCUCAGUGAGGCAAGAAGUCUAAGGUCAGUAGUAGUACCAAAGAAAGCCAAAUAAUUUCUAGAAAGGCUUCCAUGAGAAUUGAGUCUUGUGCCCCAACUCGAGCUUAAUGCCAUUACUUGUAAAUUCUUCUUAUUUGAUUAUCUAUACAUGCAUUAAUUGACCUUGGGUCAACACAUUCAUACAUUUGCAUUGCAUUGAUUGAGGAGAAAAGCCUUCUAAUGGAGUUUAUGAAGUUUGAUGUGUGUAUGACCAAUCAUUAGGACAAAGUGAAUAAGAAUUGUCCUCUAAAAUUAUAAGGUUUUGAGUUCCCGACCAAUUUGAUGGCACUUCCAUUUAAUGAAUUUGACACUAUAUUGAUAUAGAUUGGUUAACCUCUCAUGAUGCUAUUGUAGACUGUAAGAUAAAGAAGCUUACUCUGAAGACUUCUACUAGUACACAAAUUAGUACUUUUGGGGAGAGCCUAAGUAUCUUUUCAAUGUGAUUUUUGCAAUGACUUCUCAGAGCUUGAUAAGGAAUGGUGCAAGGCAUGCUUGGUAUACGUCUUUGACACUAAAGUGUUUGAGCUUAAACUUGAAGAAGUUUCCACAAUAUGAGAGUAUUCAAAUAUGUUCCUAGAAGAGUUACUGGGUUUACCUAGAGAAAUUGAGUUUUGAAACACCCCUUACCCAUCCUGACGAUUGGUACGGAUAUGAGACAUUUAAGUUUUAACCAAAAUUUCUCUUUUAUAAAAAUAUUUGUUUUACAAUAUAUUGAUAUUCAUUAAAUCAAAUUUGAAAAGUUUAGGAAGAUACAAUUAUGAUUAGAAAUCAUUUUGUUCAUGGAAUACAUAUAGGGACAUUACUAAAUCAUAAAGCGAGUGUUUGAAGCUCUAUGGCUUAGAUCGGGGUCAUUCAAGUUAAGAAAAAUAGGAGUUUUACAAUAACUUAAAAGUUUAAAACAAUUUAGAAAAACCAUGGAGUAAACUAAAAUCAUUUUGAAAGUCUUAAAUUCAUCUUAGAAUCACUUAGAAACUUUUAAUAGGUGAUCAAAAGUGUUUGAGGGUCAAGUACGAGGUCCAGGGAGCUAGGUGUCGGCACCUAGGCUGGAACUAUAACAUUUUAGCUUCUGGCUUGCUCCGGUCCGAUAGUUAUGGUAAGGGUAUCGCACCUUGGGAUCUUGAAGCUAAAAAAUAGUCUAAAAACUUUAAAAUCUCAAUCAGUUAUGCGAUGCUCCUAGGUCAAAGUCCAAGUUCCUUGGCAAGUCCUAAACCUACACGUUUUGAACCACUAGCGCGUGAGCCCAAUGAGCUCAGUAAAUAACCAUGGAUAAACCUAGUUAUCCUAUCCCUCAAUAAUGUUGAACCCUUCUUAGACAUGUCAUACAAAUUCUUCUAAGCACAUUUUAGUGCUACUAAUGAAUUAAUUUAAAUUAAUCAACUCAUAGGGCUCAACUUAUAUUUUUAUGGUUUGUUAACCAAUCACAUUAUGAAAUUCAUGUUUUAGACUCUCACAAAGGGUUCAUAUAGUGUUUAAUCCAACAUAUACUUCUUUCAAUCAUUGCUUCUAACAUUUUCAUACCUACCUACAUACAUACCUACAUACAUAAAUACAUACAUACAUGCAUGCAUGCAUGCAUGCAUACAUACAUACAUACAUACAUACAUACAUACAUACAUACAUACAUACAUACAUACAUACAUACAUACAUACAUGCAUACAAACAUGCAUGCAUACAUGCAUACAUACAUACAUACAUACAUACAUACAUGCAUACAAACAUGCAUACAUACAUACAUACAUACAUACAUACAUACAUGCAUACAUACAUACAUGCAUACAUACAUGCAUACAUGUAUACAUGCAUACAUACAUACAUACAUACAUACAUACAUACAUGUAUCCAUAUACAUACAUACAUACAUACAUACAUACAUACAUAUUUACUAAAGUAUACAUGAAUGACAAUUACCUUAAUAAUAAAGACAUUUAUUUCGGCCCACAUAUUAAGAAUCUAUUACAAUACCAAUUUCUUACUAUCAUAUUAAGGUCAUGCACCUUAUAAUUAUAUUUUCCAUUUUAUCAUAAAGCUUUAUCACAUUUUGGUUUGACGCCCAUUGUAAUCCUAGUAAAAUAAGACUCGAACACUACAGGAACUCCACAUACACCAAAGAGCAUUGAGUUGCUAUGCCCGAAGGUAAUAGAACUUCAUAUAUUGUAAAAGCUUCCGAAGAGGUAAUGUAAGCCCAAAGGUCUAUAACAAAUGCUCAACCAAGGGGGUAACCAACAAAGCUCCAAGUACAUAUCACAUAACUUUAAACUGACAUAACACUAGUACAAAAAAUCUGGUGAAACAUAAACAUGAGACUUUAAUUGGCAUGCCAACCAUAUCCUAAACACUAAAAAUUCCUUUACAAAAGUUGUUUAUCUAAUGACAACCAUUCAUAUUCUAUCAAAAUUCAAAACUCACAUAUAUUCAUCAAUGACAAAGCCCUAAUAGUUUAACAGUUUCACAAACUAGUCCCCGGGUUAGCUAGAUUAAGCUACAAUGAUCUUGAAAACAUAGAAAUCAUAAAAAAGGACAAAAUACAUACCUAAUUGGAAAAAAUAGCCUUGGCCAAACCUAGCUCUCAAUAAUUUCUUUCUUCCUUAGUGAAUAUCUGUUGAAAGAGAUGAAGAAAGAUGAUGGCAUUUUGGUUUUAUUUUAAUUAACCUUUAUUUACUAAUUUCCAAAAUUAAACUUUUAAAUUAAUUCAAAUUACAAAAUUUCCAAGUUAUUAUCAUCCACUAACAUACUAAUGGUCUAAUUACCACUUAGGGACCUCCACUUUAAAGUUCUAUAGCUAUUUAAUACCAUUAGCUAUUAGAACCCAACUUUUACACUUUACGCGGUUUAGUCUUUUUUAUCAAAUUAAGCAUGUAAAUAGUAAAAUUUCUUAAAGAAAUUUUUAUAUGGUAUUUCUAUCAUGCUGUAGAUAAUAAAAUAAUAAAAUAAAUUUUUUGACCUUGGAUUUGUGGUCCCGAAACCACUGUUCCAAUUUCACUAAAAACGGGCUGUUACAACCUAAAGGGAUUUUCGUCCCUGAAAAUCUUACCAGAAAAAAAAGGUUCAGAUAUUGCUUUCUUAUAAAUUCCUUAGGUUCCCAAGUGGCUUCCUCUAUUCUAUGCCGCUGCCAGAGAACUUUAACUAAAGCUACGUACUUAUUUAUCAAUUCUUUCACCUCUCGUGCCAGAAUUCUGAUCGGUUCUUCACUGUAUGUCAUAUCAGGCUGAAUCUCGACAUUCGUCGAAGAGAUAACAUGUGAAGGGUCAGAUCGGUACCGUCGUAACAUAGACACGUGAAAGAUAUUAUGAAUCCUUUCAAGCUCUGACGAUAAAGCUAAUCGGUAUGCCAUAAGUUCGAUUAUUUCAGUAAUCUCGUAUAGCCCGAUAAAUCGCGGGCUCAACUUUCCUUUUCGACCAAAUCGAAGAAUUUUCUUCUAGGACCAAACUUUCAAAAAUACUCUGUCGCCAACUUGAAACUCUAUAUCGUUACGUUUUAGAUCCGCGUACAAUUUCUGACGAUUUGAAGCUACUUUCAAAUUAUCUCGGAUCACUUUCAUUUUUUAUUCAGUCUCGUGAAUUAAAUCAACCCCAUGUAUUUUUUUUAUCACUCAACUCGAUCCAGUAUAAUGGAGUUCGACAUUUAUGACCAUACAGAGCCUCAUACGGUGCCAUCUUUAUGCUCAACUAGAAACUAUUAUUAUACACGAAUUGGACCAAUGAUAAAUAUUUUUCCCAGUUACCUUCGAACUCUAAUACACAACAACGAAGCAUAUAUUUGAGAAUUUAUAUCACUCGCUCGGAUUGGCCAUUGUUUUGAGGGUGAAAUGCAGUGCUAAAAUGCAAUUGCGUGCCAAGAGCUUCCUGUAACUUUCUCUAAAAUUGCGAUGUGAAUCGCGGAUCUCUAUCUGAAACAAUGAAGAUUGGCAUUCUGUGUAAUCUGACAAUCUCAGAAACAUAUAACUCAGCUAAUCUGUCAAGUGAAAAAUCUGUAUGUAUCGGAAUAAAAUGUGUGGACUUCGUCAAAUGGUCGACGAUAACCCAAAUGACAUCUUUCUUUUUCAGAGAUAAUGGUAACCUCAAUACGAAAUCCAUAGUAACUCUAUCCCAUUUCCACUCCAGUAUCAUUAUUGGAUGUAACAGUCCUGAAGGUACUUGAUGUUCAACUUUUACUUGCUGACAAAUAAAACAUUUAGAUACAAAGUGAGAUAUCUCACGCUUCACGGAUGAAAAGACAAGUUACCAUUAUGAGCUUCGUGCAAAAUUUUCUGUAUGAGCUCUGGAUUCUUUGGUACACAAACUCUACCUCUGAACAGCAAACAAUCAUCAGGUCCUAUCUGAAAUUCUAAAUCUGAAGUCGACUCACACUGUACCCGUUUAGUUAACAACUCACUAUCACAUUUCUAAGCUUCGCAGAUCUACUGUAAAAACAUUGGCAUAGCUUUUAACUCGACUAAGAUUAAGCCAUCAUCAAAUAAUGAAAAUCAAGCAUUCAUUGCUCGCAGAGUAAACAAGGACUUUCUACUUAAAGCAUUAGCAACUAUAUUUUCUUUACCCGAGUGAUAAUCAAUUAUCAAUUCAUAGUCUUUCAAUAGUUUAAGCUAUCUGCGCUGUCUCAGAUUCAAAUCUUUCUUUGACAUUAAAUACUUUAAACUCUUGUGAUCGGUAAAUAUGUGACAUUUUUCGCCGAACAAAUGGUGUCGCCAAAUUUUCAAUGCAAACAUGAUAGCUUCCAACUCUAAAUCAUGCGUCGAAUAGUUUUUUUCGUACAACAUGAUAGCUUUUUGUAAUCGUCGCAUCAUCGAUGUAGCUAUCAUUAAGAACCCUUUGACAAAUCUUCGGUAAUAGCCAGCUAAUCCCAGAAAACUUCUAACUUCAGAUAUGUUUCUCUGUGGUUUCCAGUCAACAAUUGCGAAAAUUUUACUCAGAUCAACUCUGAUGCCUUCAGUCGAUACUAUAUGUCCCAGAAAACCGACUUCUCAGAGCCAGAACUCACAUUUGCUAAAUCUAGUAAACAAUUAUUUAUCUCGCAGAGUUUGCAAAACAAUUCUCAGAUGCUCGGCAUGUUCAGUCUUAUCUCUGGAACUAUCAGAAUAUCAUUAAUAAAUACCACAACAAAUCUAUCUAAAUACGGUUUGAAGAUUCUGGUCAUCAAAUCUAUAAAUACUGCAGGUGCGUUAGUUAAACCAAAUGACAUCACAAGAAUUUCAUAAUGUCCGUACCUGGUUUUGAAUGCAAUUUUCGGCACAUUCGAAUCUUUCACUCGUAUUUGAUAGUAACCGGAACGAAGAUCAAUUUUUGAGAAUAUUGUGGCACCUUUCAACUGAUUGAACAAAUCAUCAAUUCGAGGCAGUGGAUAUUUGUUCUUGAUUGUAACCUUAUUGAGUUGAUAAUAAUCAGUACAUAAUCUCAUCGAUCUGUCAACUCUUGCAAAUAUGCUUUCAACUCUUUAACUCGGUAGGAGCCAUUCUGUAAGGUGCUAUUGAUAUCAGUGAUGUUCCUGGUACAAGUUCUAUAGCAAACUCAACCUCUCUGACCGACGGUAAUCCAAGUAACUCCUUUGGAAACACAUCGAGAUACUUGCAAACCAUAGGCACUGAUUUAAGCUUCGAUUUAGACACUUUAGUAUCCAAUAUAUAAGCAAGGUAAGCAUUACACUCUUUUCUCACAUAUUUAUGCACUGACAAAGUUUAUAUCACAAUAGGCAACCUACACAGAUUAUUUGAUUCAAUACGAAGCAUCUCACUGUUCUAACAUUUUAAUACAAUUAGCUUUUGUCUACAGUUUAUAGCAGCGUCGUGCAGAGUUAGCUAAUCCAUGCCCAAAAUCACAUCGAAUUCAUCAAACGAUAAUAACAUCAAAUCAGCUAAAAAAUUGUAACCCCGAGUUAUCAAAGGACAAUUCUUGCAGACUUUAUCAACUAGCAUAUACUGGCCUAAGGGGUUCGAUACUUUAACCACGAAUUCAGUGGACUCAAUAGGUAAAUUUUUACUAGACACUAAAUUCAUGCAUACAUAUGAAUAGGUCGAUUCGGGAUCAAUCAAAGCAGUUACAUCAGUAUCAUAAAGAGAGAAAGUACCGGUAAUAACAUCUGGCGCAGAAGCGUUCUCGCAUGCACGAAUAGCAUACGUCGUAGCUGGUGCUCGUGCCUCGGAUCUCACAGUAGAGUCUUUAGUCACACCACGUCUACCACUCAUAUUUCUGGGAUUACGAAGUGGUUUACCUCUCGCAGCUGUGUUACUUGGCCUCAAAAUCUGAACUUUCUCUUUAUCAAACUUCUCAGGACAAUCUUUAAGAUAGUGAUAAACAGAACCAUAUCUGAAACACGCUUCACUCUUCAUUCGACACUCACCAUAAUGUAGCCUGUUACAGUGCUUGCACUAGGGUCUGGUGUUUCUAACACUACCUACACUCGCUAUAGAUGUAGCCCGAGGUUUAGGACUGGAGUGUCCGGUAUUUGUCUCUAUUAGAAUAUCCCACAUAAGUAGUAGAAUGAUAGUGUUGUUCUUUAGAUUUCUUCAAUGCUAACUGGUAUGAUUUUCCCUUCAAUCUCUUUCUCGAAUCUUUGGCUUCAAUCUAAGUGUGUCUUUUCUCUUUACUUGGCUCUUCGGCUUUAUGUGCCCGAUCAACCAGUACAACAAAUUCUUUCAACUCAAUGAUCCCAACUAAUAGUUUUAUAUCUUCGUUUAAUCCAUCUUCAAAUUGUUUACAUAUUGCAUUCUUAGUCAGAAUGCAUUCUCGAGCAUAUUUACUCAAACGAACAAAUUCUUGCUCGUAUUAUGAUACUGUCAUGCAACCCUGUUUGAGCUCUAGGAAUUUUUUACAUUUCUGAUUUAGAAACCUCUGAUUGAUGUAUUUCUUACAGAACUCGAUUUGAAAGAACUCCCAAGUGAUACGCUCUCUUGACACAACAGAAGUCAAUGUAUUCCACCAUUGGUAAGCCGAAUCUUUUAAUAAAGAUACUACACACUUUACACAUUCAGUCAGGGAACAGGAUAACUCGUUAAAAACCCUGAUAGUAUUCUCUAACUAGAAUUUAGCUCUCUCAGGAUCAUCUUCAGCAGUAGCUCAAAAUUCUUCAGCCCAUACUUACGAAUCUUAUCAAUAGGAGGCUUACUAUCUCGGAUUGGUUUCGUACCUUGAGGAAUCACGGGAACCGGUUGGGGAACAUAAGGGGUAGAGGUUGUUGAGCACCCGAUUUCGUCUGUACAAGCUCAGUGAACCAUUCAUUUAUCAUCUGAAAGAAGGCUUCUUUAGCCUCUCCUCCCCAGCCCUCAAAUACGGGCCUCGCACCGCUCGAAGCUACUCCGAGAAUGGAGCCUUGAACAUUACUCUCUAUUUCAUUGGAAUAAGCUUGGUUGGAUGUCACUGCUAUAUGAUAACAUGUUUUAAAACAAUCAGGAGAUAUCACACUAUCACAGGUUAUAUAAUGACAUGUAUAGCUAAACUUGUACACGCUACGUUCAGUCUGAGAAUCGACUAAACCGUAACUCCGAUAUCAAUAAAUGUAACACCCCUAACUCGUAUCCAUCACCAGAAUAGGAUUAUGGAGCAUUACUGGACUUUACAGAUCAAACAAACAUAAUUUUAAACAUUUCAUAUCAUAAAAUAUUCAUGUCAGAAACCAAUCAAAAUCAUACAUACUAUCCCUUAUACGAGCCCUCAAGGCUCAAAUUACGCAUUAGAAAUAAAUCAGGACUAAAUCAAAAACUCAAAAAAUAUUUUGGAAACAUUUAAAAUUUUUAAAAUUGCAGGGGUCAGACGGUCGUGUGGCCCAAUAGACAUGCCCGUGUGGACAUUUGAAAUAGGGACACACGGCCGUGUCCCAACCUGUUUAUGUUUCUAUGUAACUCAUUGACUUGUGUCACAUGGCCAAGCCAUAUGCCCGUGUGCUAGGCCAUGUGAGCAUACUGACUUGUACCCUUAAUAAGCUAUAGGGGACACACAUGACCAUGUCUUUACCCGUGUGGAUGAAAAUAGGUCAUUUUCCAAGCCACAUUUUUCACCCAAUUCGGCACCAGCCUAAACUCAAUAUUAUGCACAUCAACAAGCCAUAACAAGGCAUCCAAAACAAGCCAAAAUCAAUUCUUAAAUAUGUAAUAUUUCACAUACAACCAAUAUGCCCUUAGGCACCUCAAAUGACAAUAUUCAAACAUGUAUUUUCAUAUAUAUAAUUUAACCAAAUAAACCAUCAAUUUACCAAGCUAAUUUGCAUCCUUUCAUACCAAUUCAUUUAUCUACCAAAACAUACCAUUUGAUACCAAAAUGCAUUUCGAAUACUAUCAUAUUUAGACAUAUAUAUACCUUACAUAUCAAGGUACCAAAUCAUCUCCAAUUCUUCACAUUACAAACACAUGUACAAAAUGCACAUUUAGCUAACAUUUACCUUUCAUCAUUUUAUCACAAAUCAAGUCACACACCAAACAUGAUAAGGCCAUUUAUAUAUACACAUAGCAAAAUAUACCAAAACACAAGCCAAAGUAUAUGGCCACAACCACAACAUCACACAUAGGCCAACAUUAGCCAAAAUAACCUAUACAUGCCAUUAUAACAAAAAUGUAACCAACUAAAAGUACCAAAAGAGCCGAUGGAUAGUGUGAUAUGACUCCAACAAGCUUCCAACCCGAACGAGCUUUUGAAUCACUAUAAAACACGAAAAAUAACACAGGGUAAGCAUUUAAGCUUAGUAAGUUCGUAUAACUUAGAAUUUAACUUACCAUUUUAAAUUACAAUUAAGGUAAGCUAACAUAGCAUAUCCCAACCAAUUUGGAAAAAAGCUUAAACACAUGAUCAUCGACAUAUUAGCCAUGUAAAUCAUAUAUAAAAUCCAAUACACUUGGAUGAAUUCAACAAGUAAUCACAUUUCAUAUACAUGAAUUAUUCAUUUCAUAUAUCAAUGUAUCAUAUAACAUUACUUUCAUGUAUUUUAUGUAAAUACUUGUAAUAGUUCAUAUCGAACUCAUAUAAUAUUGUAAUAGAACUGUGCCCAUUGAACCAUUUAGAAUAUCGUUAGAUACUCAGGUAGUACAAACGAGGUGUACUGAACUGUAAUCCGUCAAUUCCUGUACAUGUAUGCUCAUACGAGUUCUGAAUCGGUAUGCUCUUACAAGUGUAAACAGUAAGCUCCUCCGAGUUAAAUAACGGUAAGCUUUUUCGAGCUAAAUAAUGAUAAACUCUUCCGAGCUGAGUAUCGGUAAGCUCAUACAAGCUGAAAUCGGUAACCCUAAUGACAUGUCAUUUGUAUCCUACGAAUUCCUAAGGUUCAAAUGGGACUUAGUAAUCACCGUACGUCGUUGGAUAUGCGAUCGAUAUUCAUACAUGACAACUAUGCAAGUCACAUACAUAUAAUUCAAUUAAAGCAUAUAAAUUUACAAUUUUAUUACACGAACUUACCUCUACGAGUGUACGUAGAUACGAAGGCGACUAAUCUGAGAUGUUCUUUUUGCCUCGAUCUAACUCCGUACAAGGUCUGACAGGAUUUAUAUAAAUCAAUUUAACUCAAUUUAAUAUAAUUCAUAUUCAAUUUCGUGAAACACACAUUUUUAGCAAAAUUACCAUUUUGUCCCUAUACUUUUAAUUCUUUUCAAUUUAGUCCCUAGGCUCGAAAAAUGAAAUUCAUUCAAUUUUAUCCCUACCCAAGCCUAGCUGAAAUUCUAUACAUACUAAUAGAAGCCCAUAUUUUUCAAUAAUUCACAAACUUACCACAUAAUCACUAAAAAUUCCUUUACAAAAGUUAUUUAUCUAACAACAACCAUUCAUAUUCUAUCAUCAAACUUCAAAACUCACAUAUAUUCAUCAAUGGAAAAACCCUAAUAGUUUAAUAGUUUCACAAAUUAGUCCCCGGGCUAGCUAGAUUAAGCUACAACGAUCCCGAAACAUAGAAAUCAUAAAAAGGGACAAAAUACAUACCUAAUUGGACAAAAUAGCCUUGGCCGAACCUAGCUCUCAAAAAUGGCUUUCUUCCCUAGUGAAAAUCGGUUGAAAGAGAUGAAGAAGGAUGAUGGCAUUUUGGUUUUAUUUUAAUUAACCUUUAUUUGCAAAUUUCCAAAAUUAACCUUAUAAAUUAAUUCAAAUUACAAAAUUUCCAAGCCAUUAUCAUACACUAACAUACUAAUGGUCUAAUUACCACUUAGGGACCUCCACUUUAAAGUCCUAUAGCUAUUUAAUACCAUUAGCUAUUAGAACUCAACUUUUACACUUUGCGCGAUUUAGUCAUUUUUAUCAAAUUAAGCAUGUAAACAGUAAAAUUUAUUAAUGGAAUUUUUAUACGAUAUUUCUAUCGUGCUGUAAAUAAUAAAAUAAUAAAAUAAAUUUUUUGACCUCGAAUUUGUGGUCCCAAAAUCACUAUUCUAAUUUCACUGAAAAAGAGUUGUUACAUUUAUGAAAACUCACAUCUAUUUGUCUGUUAUGUUCAGGUAAUCCUCAAACAUAGGUGGGUAGGUACGGCGGAGUCUCAGCGAUGAUCACUAGUUCGAAAACUACUUUUAAUUAGUGAUUUAUUUACUUUUCUGGUUUUUCUUGAGAGUUUUGUAAUUUUUAGACUCUCGGGACUGUUUGAUUUUAGUUUUGGUUUGGUUGUGUUUUGACUUUUAUUCAGCGAUGUUUGAAAAAAAAAACGGUUUUACGCAAACAAAUAUUUUUUGAAAACUCAAGCUCGAUUUUCAACUAUAACAACUUACAAACUUCUGUUGCCAAUUUACGUUUUAAUUUAUGUUUUACUUAAAAGGGCAAUAAAUGACGGUUUCAUUAAAGCGAAUAAUAAUAAGUUUUUCCUAAAAUAUGGACUCCUUUAUAACGAUAAAAUCGAGAAGUUUAACAUGAAAGUUUUGUUUCAAAACUCUUUUUCGUAACAUUUCUAGAUUCGGUCAUAACGUCUGGGUCGGAUUUGGGGUAUUAUAAGGAGCAUAUAUUUGCUUAUUCAUUUUGCUUUUCAUGCAAAAAUCAUUGAGGACAAUCCUAUAAAGAUUUUUCAAUGAAACAUGUGGUAAUUUUAUUUAUUCAAUAAAUCCUAAAAUUAUAAGAAGUAUGAUGAAAUCACUGAAUUAAGAACACAAAAUCUUAUCAUGUAGAUGAUUGUUUGCCUUGAUUUUGCUUCAGAGUUGUAUUUAAAGGGAAUAUCCAUAGGAUAUGUGUCCUCUCUUGAUUGGUGAGUUGUUAAUGAAGUCAUUUAGUCUAGAUCUCCCUUUCUAAGUUUAUGAUGUAACCUAUCGAGACGUGCUUGCAAAGUAUGUGAAUGGCAUAUGAAAGUAAUCUUACCGAACGAAACCUAAAAACUUCGCGAGACAUGUUAACCUAGUGUGACCCUAUUCUUUUAGGAGGUGUGACCUUGGCAAAGUAUGUCUAACAACAUAAAACCCUUUUAGAAAAGAAGAAGAAGAAGAAGAAGGAUUCAACAAGUAGCAAAAUCUAUAAAGAAAAAUUACAUCAAACACAUAAUAUGUUCCUUUUUUCUAGUGAAUUUCCUUGAUUAAUCAAUAUAUUUUUCUUAGUUUCCUUCCCAAUGGAUGAGAGAAAACAAAAAUGAAGCAUUUUUGUAGACCUGUCAGCAAACCGUCAAGCUCAAUAAACUCAAUUCAGAUUGGGUUAGGAGAAAUAUUUUUUAUAUUGAUCUGGUGCAAUUUAAUAAAAGAAUAGUAGAUUCGGAUUAACGACUAAGCCAAAAACAAAGCUAAAAAGAAAAAAAGACAACGGUUAGCGCGAUACAACUCAUAAUCAUCUCUAAAUUGUUCACACCAUUGAAUAAAAAUCUAAUUGAAAAGAUAAGUAAAUUAUUUAACUAAUUUUAUUAACAUUAAUGAGACAUCGAAAAAGGAAAUUAAUUAGCAAGGAUGAAAGCAAAGUCCUUUAGAUUCAUCUCCGUGAUUAUCCUUGCACAAUUCUGAGCAGAAAUUGUUUUCGCAACCUUCAAAAUUCAUAAUUUCUGUGCAUGUUCUCUCUCCUAGUCCUACUCCUUCCUCCUUUCCUGCAUUUUUUUUAUAUAUAUACAUAUACGUGCAUUAAAAUAUAUGGGUAGAUAGAAGCUAGAUAAAAGAAAAUAUAUUUGGUUUGAAUGAGUAAAUCAAUGAAUUUUACCAGCUGCAAAAAGAAGAACAACAAUUAAAAUGGCAUAGACCUGGAAGCUCUUCAUUGUUAUUUUCUUUCCCUUUAUGUAAAUGGAGGAAGAACAUUUAAAUUUAUAAGUGUAGGAGGGGAAGAGUUAUUGAAAAAAGUAAAAUGUUAGUAAAUUUUAAAAGGUUUAAUGUACACUUUAGUCCCUAAAAUAUACCCUCUUUUCCAUUUUGAUCUUUAAAGUUUUUUCUCAUUUCAGUCCCUAAUGUUAUCAGACAUUCUCAAUUUAGACCCUCAUGUUAUCAAAUGUUCCUGAUUCAUCACUUUGAAUAUUAGAAAAAUGACUGGGAUAUCCAACCAAUCAUAAAUUGCCACGUAUUAUACGCUAAUAUCACAAUGACAUGAUCAUAUAUGAAAAAACCUUAAAAAAUAUUUUAAAAAUAUAAAAUUACAAAUAAAUAUAAUUAGGAUUAUAAAAAUAUAUAAUUUUUUAAAAAUUUAAAAUAUGUUAGAAUAUUUAAAAAUUAUAAAAAUUAUUAGAAAAUUCAAAAUAUUGUAAAAAAUUAUAAAAUUAUUAGAAAUUGUAAUUUUUUUUUAAAAGAUAGUAAAAAUUUGUUGAAUCUUGGAAUAAAGUAUACUUUUAUUAAUCACAUUUAAAAUAUUAAAAAUUUGAUAUAAAAAUUUUAUAUAGUUAAAAAUACAAUCAUUUGUUAUAAAAAUUGUACCAAAAUUCUUUAGAAUGGUCAAAUACUCAAUAAUAGUGGUGGACUUAAUGUGAGUGAUGGCAUGUUCUGGUAUUUGCAAGCAAAAUAUUUGAAUUCAAAUAUGAUAAGGAAAUGAAUAAGCAGUUGAAAUAAUUAAAAAUAUUGUUUAAAUCAUUAUUUAAUUGGAAUAACUAUAUAUUUUGUUAUUUAAAUAAUUUGAAAACUUAUCCAAAUCUAUCACCAAAAAAAUCUGUUAAUUAUAAAUUUCAAUUGAUUGAAUCAUAAAAUAUUUACCGUAAGUGGUAUCUUUCUAACAGACAAAGAUCUCAAAUUUAAGCUCUAGUAAAUAUGAUUUAUAAAAUUUUAUAAAUAUUAAAAUGUCUAAUAUUUUUUAUAAAUUUUUAAUAAUUUGAAUAUUUAUUUUUUAUUUUUUUUAUUUUAAUAAUUAUUUGUAAUUUUUAUAUUCUUUUCAUUUUUCAAAGGUUUUUUUUAGGUUUUUUUUUUUCAGAUUAUAUAGUCACUACGACAUUACCGUAUGACACAUGAUAACAUAUGAUUGGUUGGAUAUUUGAAUAGUUAGUUUUUAAGGUCCAAAAGAACGAACUGGAAUGUUUGAUAACGUUAAGGAAUAAAGCGGGCCGAAAAAAAUUAAGGACCAAAGUGAAAAAAAGAAGAUUUACCUUAAGAACUAAAGUGUGCAUUAAACCUUUCUUAAAAUACCAAUAUUGUUGUUUUUUAGUGGUGUCAGAAAUGCCAUUUCAAAACCCUAUUUUUGUAAACUGUAUCCAUAAAUAUUAAAUACCUAUGUUGUUGUCUGUAUAUCUGUAAUGACCUGGUUUUCAGUGGUGUUAGAAAAUGCGAUUUCGGAACCCUAUUUUCAUCCAUAAAUAUUAAAUAGGAUAUUUACGGAGUUAGUGUAUAAAUGAAUUAAAAUUUGAUUAAGUAAUUUAGCCAAAAUUGUGAUUAAUUAAGGCCCAAAGAUUAAAUUGUAAAAAUCCAAUCUCUAUUGAUUUUUAAUUAGGAAAUAGCUUGGGGACUUAGAUAGCAAUUAUCCAAAUGUUCAACAUGGUUAUUAAACCAUUAUUUUCAUGCAAUUAGUGGACGGUAGCAAUGGGUUUCAUUAAGUAUGAUUAAUAAUUAAAUUAUUAUAAUUAAACCUAAUAAACUAAGAAUAAUUAAAUAAUAAACUUAGUAUAUAUAGCUUAGUGGAAAGAAAGAUUAUUAAUUCAUUUUCUUCUACCAGUCGAAACCAAAUAAAAAGAAAAGAAGAAAAAGUUCCUUCAAGCUUUCGGCCACAAGCUGGUAACUGCAAUCAAAUCUUUUUCUUCUAAUUUUUAUAGAUUUGAUUUCAUGAGAGCUUGAUUUAGCCAAUCCAUGUACCAAUUUGUAAAACUAUUAAAGUUAUUGAAAGUUACCCUUAUUGAGAAUUGGAUGAAAUUGAUGUGCCAUUACUAAGAAUUAAGCUUAGAUUAAAAAAAUGACUAAAUUGUAAAACUUAAUUGUUAGUUUUGUACAUUAGAGACCAAAUUAAAUAAAAUGAAAAAAUGCUAUGAAAUGUUGAUAGGGAGAGAAAAUAAAAGGUCCCUAAUGAAUUUUGGUGAAAUUGGAUUUUAAUCUAAAGCCUUAAAUUGGAAGUUAUGUUUGUCCUGGUUUUACGAACUCAAUUGAAUAAAUUACAAAAUAUGUAUAAUUUGAUAUUUGAUUCUGAAUUGGAUGAAAAUUGAUAAUGUGAUAUGUUUUGUGACUAUUCGUAGCUAACGUUGACGUGGAAACGUCGGCGUGAAACCUUCGAGAGGGAAAGGAAAAGCUGGAGUUAUUGACGAGUGACGCGAGACCACUGUUUGUACUUUUAUGAUUCGGGAUAAAAAUAUUUGUUUGCAUUUGCAUGUUUAUUAGAUGGUUAAUCGUUGGGGUAAGUAUAUGGUGAUAGUAUGUAUUGUUUUGAUUGAAUUUGAUGUGGGGUAUCAAAAUAAAAAACUAAAAUUAAUAAAAUGGUAAACCACAUUGUAAUAGGCCAUUUUAGCCCGGGCCCAAAUGCAUAAACCUGGAAAUAUAAAUACAAUAAAUUACAAACCCAUUGGCCCAAAUACAAUAAUCCAACACUGGCCCAAUACCUAGCCCUAACAAUUUUCAACAGCAGAAACCCUAGGCAGCUUUUGUGCCUCAGCGCCGCAGCAACCGCUUCCAUGCCCCACGUUCAGCACUCCGCGCACGUCCUCUAUGACCUUCAUACCUGCGGAAAAACUGAUUCAAACGGCAGUAGAUGUAGCAAAUAACGGAAUAGAUAAUUUUUUUUUAUGAUUAUGGGGUACAUCUCGGCUAUAAAAAGGGCAAUCAAUCUCUGUAACGGGGUUAGCAAAUUUUUGUACCGAAAUCGAAAAGAAAAUAGACGAAAAAAACAUUUUUGAAGGUGACAGAUUUUGGCUUUGUUUCUUCUGUUCUUUUUACUGUUUUUAUUUUAUUUUGUUUUUUUUCUUUUGUUUCUUAAAACAACAAAAAUAAACGAAGAAAGGGAGGAAAGGAAGACUUACCGUUGAAAGAGUAUUUGGGUGUCCUCCUUUCGCCGUUAUCUGGUCGGAAAAGGGAGGAGACUGGAACGGCAGAGGGAGUGCAACGGCGUGAUUGAAAAAUGGCAGAGGAGGUUUUUUUUAGGGAUUGAAAUGGGUUUUAUUGGCUGCAAAUGGAAUGGGGUUUUAUUUAUGGGUUAUUUAUGUUUUUAAUCCUUUU